rnacentral:lncRNA from 13 species
AAUCACAGCUCUAAAUCUUUUCACGAAGUUGAAGACAGACGUUUUACUGUGGGAGCCAUCUCAUCUUUAUCUGGGAUGCACUUCAGAAUCUCUUUGGGAAGUUUUGAAAUUUACAUGGCCAGGCCUGAUAUCUGACUCAGAGGCCCAGGGUGGAGCCAGCACUGACCUGCUCUACAGAGCGUCUCAUGGAGUCCUUGAUUGGGAACACCUGUCACGUAUGCUGCCUCUUCUGGGACCAUCUGCCUAUCUGAAGAAAGGGCACAGGUGCUAUACAACCAUCUCUGGAGAUAGUGCCUGUGGAAUUUUAAGCUUUAUUCUGCUAGCUGGCCUGAGUCAAAGCGGGUAAAGAGGCCAAGAAUUCCCAAGCUUUCCCAGGCAAGCGGGGAAGAACACUGGGACGCCUUUUCCUCCUCCUCUGUCCAUCUUCAGGCCAAGUGUGCAUCGGUCACAGGGAAACUCUGAAUCGAGCUUUGUGCAAGCCCCUGGAAAGAGACCCAAGAUCGUGUGAUGAGCAACAGUGACAGUGCUGGUGGCAGUGCCAUCUGCAGAACCAGCCCCAUCCCUAUCUGCAACAGAAUAUGCAGGGGCAUCCUUUAUGCAAACAAUCCCCCCGGGGUAGAAUGGGGCUUUUGACAUCAGCUGAGACCCAGGCUGCCUUACAAUGAGAGGCCUGUUGGUCAAAGGAAGGACUGUUUAAUGAACUGAGAACCUGAGGCCAGCUCUGGCCAUCUGCACUUAGAAUCAUAGAGCAACGUGACUGUAACUGGCAACAUUGAAUAAUGCAACAAAUUCAUAUUUCAAAAUUGUGAACUUUAAAAUUUCGUGUUUGUGUCUGUGAUGAAAAACAAAUAUACAUUUGAUACUACCAUUUGAUCAGUAAAGAAGCCUGAAAAAUAUCUGUCUUUGACUCGAAGGUCAAUAAUGAUGAUGGUUUUUCCCCUGCACUGGGAUAGAAAUGUUCUGU